UCUGGAGGACAGGUGCUGCAUGGCUGUCGUCAGCUCGUGUCGUGAGAUGUUGGGUUAAGUCCCGCAACGAGCGCAACCCUUGCCUUUAGUUGCCAGCAGUUCGGCUGGCACUCUAAAGGGACUGCCGGUGUUAAACCGGAGGAAGGUGGGGAUGACGUCAAGUCCUCAUGGCCUUUAUGACCAGGGCUACACACGUACUACAAUGGCCGAUACAAAGGGCAGCGACACUGCGAGGUGAAGCCAAUCCCGUAAAAUCGGUCUCAGUCCGGAUUGGAGUCUGCAACUCGACUCCAUGAAGUUGGAAUCGCUAGUAAUCGUGGAUCAGCAUGCCACGGUGAAUACGUUCCCGGGCCUU
rnacentral:rRNA from 1 species